GAUGAACGCUGGCGGCGUGCUUAACACAUGCAAGUCGAACGGUGAACGAGGGAGCUUGCUCCCUCCGGACCAGUGGCGAACGGGUGAGUAACACGUGAGCAAUCUGCCCUGGACUCAGGGAUAAGCGUUGGAAACGACGUUUAAUACCGGAUACGAGACGCGAAGGCAUCUUCAGCGUCUGGAAAGAACUUCGGUCCAGGAUGAGCUCGCGGCCUAUCAGCUUGUUGGUGGGGUGAUGGCCUACCAAGGCGACGACGGGUAGCCGGCCUGAGAGGGCGACCGGCCACACCGGGACUGAGACACGGCCCAGACUCCUACGGGAGGCAGCAGUGGGGAAUAUUGCACAAUGGGCGCAAGCCUGAUGCAGCAACGCCGCGUGCGGGAUGACGGCCUUCGGGUUGUAAACCGCUUUUAGUAGGGAAGAAGCCUUCGGGUGACGGUACCUGCAGAAAAAGGACCGGCUAACUACGUGCCAGCAGCCGCCGUAACAC
rnacentral:rRNA from 1 species